CGGAGGGGAGGGGCCCGUAAGGAAAAAACCCAAAUCCACCCGAAAAUCCGCGUGCGAGUCCCUGCGGAGGAGGAGCCCCGCAGGAACAGCCCCCUCAGCCGGGAACCUUGCCGGUCCAGGAUCGGUGAGACACCGCUCGUCCCGUUAUUCAGAGGGCGCGUGGUGUCACAGACUCAGAACAUCCCGAGUUGGAAGGGACCCACCGGGACCAUCAGUCCGACCCUCAGCCCCGCACGGGACCCUCCCCAAGAGUCGCACCGUGUACCCGAGAGCGUUGUCCCAGCGCUUCCCGAGCUCUGCCGGGCCCGAUGCUGCGACACGGCCCCGGGGCUGUGCCAGCGCGGCCGCAGCCACAGAACCGCCCACGCGGCCCCCCCGGCGGCUGCGGGACCUUGUGCAACCCGCAUCAUCUCCCGGGAAGGCUCCUGCGUCACGGAGUGGUUUCCCCCCUGGAUGACAUCGGAAGCCCUUAUGCCAGAGCGAGCGAGGAACACGCCCGUGUGAGGUGUCCGUAGGCGGUGCUGCCGCAAGCAGAGCCUCCAGUGACUGGGAGGGGACACGCUGGACUCUGGCCAGGCAGAGGUCACCCCGGCGCUCCCACCCGGGUUUUCAGCCCUGCUGGUGCACAAGUGCCACAAGAACAGCACACUGCACAACCACUUCCUACUGAAGCAUCGUUUAUUAAUCACCUGUAUCAAGCACACAUCUGCUCAGCAAGGGUGCAUGAUGAGAUACAACAGUUGACAUCUAACCCAAAGGGAGGCACGUGGUUACAGGAUCCAGCACAGCAGGAGGAAGUGUACUGAACCCUCUGGAAAGACAACCCGGGUGCAACAUGGUGCCCGUUGUUAGGCUAUGUUGUUAGGAGGCUGAAGACCAGUGAGAAUAAAAUUAGGAAUACAGCUAAAA